GAAAUGCGAUACGUAGUGUGAAUUGCAGAAUUCAGUGAAUCAUCGAAUCUUUGAACGCACAUUGCGCCCUUUGGUAUUCCAAAGGGCAUGCCUGUCCGAGCGUCAUUACGCACCCUCAAGCCCGGCUUGUGUGAUGGGCCCUGGCGUCUCGUUCGCGAGACGGGCCCGAAAGGCAGCGGCGGCGUCGACCCGAUGAGCCCGAGCGUAUGGGGACUUUUGUCACACGUUUGCGGUGCGGACCGGCGCCUGCUUGACUUUUCUGAUUAUCCAGGUUGACCUCGGAUCAGGUAGGGAUACCCGCUGAACUUAAGC
rnacentral:misc_RNA from 1 species